rnacentral:rRNA from 1 species
UGGGGAAUAUUGCACAAUGGGCGCAAGCCUGAUGCAGCCAUGCCGCGUGUAUGAAGAAGGCCUUCGGGUUGUAAAGUACUUUCAGCGGGGAGGAAGGCGAUAAGGUUAAUAACCUUGUCGAUUGACGUUACCCGCAGAAGAAGCACCGGCUAACUCCGUGCCAGCAGCCGCGGUAAUACGGAGGGUGCAAGCGUUAAUCGGAAUUACUGGGCGUAAAGCGCACGCAGGCGGUCUGUCAAGUCGGAUGUGAAAUCCCCGGGCUCAACCUGGGAACUGCAUUCGAAACUGGCAGGCUAGAGUCUUGUAGAGGGGGGUAGAAUUCCAGGUGUAGUGGUGAAAUGCGUAGAGAUCUGGAGGAAUACCGGUGGCGAAGGCGGCCCCCUGGACAAAGACUGACGCUCAGGUGCGAAAGCGUGGGGAGCAAACA